rnacentral:rRNA from 1 species
GACGAACGCUGGCGGCGUGCUUAACACAUGCAAGUCGAACGGAAAGGCCCUGCUUGCAGGGUACUCGAGUGGCGAACGGGUGGGUAACACGUGGGUGAUCUGCCCUGCACUUCGGGAUAAGCCUGGGAAACUGGGUCUAUUACCGGAUAGGAGCCAUUUUUAGUGGGAUGGUUGGAAAGAUUUUUCGGUGUAGGAUGAGCUCGCGGCCUAUCGGCUUGUUGGUGGGGUAAUGGCCUACCAAGGCGGCGACGGGUAGCCGGCCUGAGAGGGUGGACGGCGACCCUGGGACUGAGGUGCGGCCCAGAUGCGUACGGGAGGCAGCAGUGGGGAAUAUUGCACAAUGGGCGCAAGCCUGAUGCAGCGACGCCGCGUGGGGGAUGACGGCCUUCGGGUUGAAAACUACUUUCGCUAGGGACGAAGCUUUUUGUGACGGUACCUAGAUAAGAAGCACCGGCUAACUACGUG